CUGCGCAAAAACAGCAACCCACCGGCGGGCAUCACGGCGUGCUGCUGCAGCGUGCAGCUUGCUGCGCAGGUCGGCGAUGGAGCUCGCUGCGCGACGAGGGAGCGAGGUAGUGGCAGGGACGUCCGACAGCAAAGCAAGGGAGGAGCUCGCUGCCGGGGGCUGCUCGCCAUGGUUGCCGAGCUAGCAGCAGGGGAACCUUCGGCCAGGGAGGAAAAAAAAUGGGGCGAGCUCUGCUGGAAUUUCUGGGCGCCGUCCAAGGAAGCUGCUGCCGCUGCUUUGCGUAGUAGCCCGGCCAGGGGAGGAAGAAGGGCAGAGGGCACGCAGGGAGGUGGAGGCGCCAUGGGAGGGGGCGAGCAGAGCUACUGCUCAAACAUGGGAGAGAGGGGGCGCUGGGGAAGCUGCUGCUCCCUGCGCUGA
rnacentral:misc_RNA from 1 species